AUUGAACGCUGGCGGCAUGCCUUACACAUGCAAGUCGAACGGCAGCGGACCUUCGGGUGCCGGCGAGUGGCGAACGGGUGAGUAAUAUAUCGGAACGUACCUUUCAGUGGGGGAUAACGUAGCGAAAGUUACGCUAAUACCGCAUAUUCUGUGAGCAGGAAAGCAGGGGAUCGCAAGACCUUGCGCUGAUUGAGCGGCCGAUAUCAGAUUAGCUAGUUGGUGAGAUAAAGGCUCACCAAGGCGACGAUCUGUAGCGGGUCUGAGAGGAUGAUCCGCCACACUGGAACUGAGACACGGUCCAGACUCCUACGGGAGGCAGCAGUGGGGAAUUUUGGACAAUGGGCGCAAGCCUGA
rnacentral:rRNA from 1 species